rnacentral:rRNA from 1 species
GAUGAACGCUGGCGGCGUGCCUAAUACAUGCAAGUCGAACGAAUCUUCUUCGGAAGAUGAGUGGCGAACGGGUGAGUGAUACAUAGGUAACCUGCCCCUGUGCGGGGGAUAACAGGAGGAAACUCCUGCUAAUACCGCAUAGCCAUGAGCACCGCAUGGAGCUCAUGCCAAAUAUCCUUUCGGGGAUAGCGCAGGGAUGGACCUAUGGCGCAUUAGCUGGUUGGCGGGGCAACGGCCCACCAAGGCAACGAUGCGUAGCCGGCCUGAGAGGGCGUACGGCCACAUUGGGACGGAGACACGGCCCAGACUCCGCAGGGAGGAAGCAGGAGGGCAUUUUCGGCAAUGGGGGAAACCCUGACCGAGCAACGCCGCGUGAGCGAAGAAGGCCUUCGGGUCGUAAAGCUCUGUUGUAAAGGAAGAACGGCGCAUACAGGAAAUGGUAUGCGAGUGACGGUACUUUACCAGAAAGCCACGGCUAACUACGUGCCAGCCGCCGCAGUAA